AACAGGAUUAGAUACCCUGGUAGUCCAUGCCGUAAACGAUGUCUACUAGCCGUUGGGGCCUUUGAGGCUUUAGUGGCGCAGCUAACGCGAUAAGUAGACCGCCUGGGGAGUACGGUCGCAAGACUAAAACUCAAAUGAAUUGACGGGGGCCCGCACAAGCGGUGGAGCAUGUGGUUUAAUUCGAUGCAACGCGAAGAACCUUACCUGGUCUUGACAUAGUAAGAACUUUCCAGAGAUGGACUGGUGCCUUCGGGAACUUACAUACAGGUGCUGCAUAGCUGUCGUCAGCUCGUGUCGUGAGAUGUUGGGUUAAGUCCCGCAACGAGCGCAACCCUUUUCCUUAUUUGCCAGCACUUCGGGUGGGAACUUUAAGGAUACUGCCAGUGACAAACUGGAGGAAGGCGGGGACGACGUCAAGUCAUCAUGGCCCUUACGACCAGGGCUACACACGUGCUACAAUGGUCGGUACAAAGGGUUGCUACCUAGCGAUAGGAUGCUAAUCUCAAAAAGCCGAUCGUAGUCCGGAUUGGAGUCUGCAACUCGACUCCAUGAAGUCGGAAUCGCUAGUAAUCGCGGAUCAGAAUGCCGCGGUGAAUACGUUCCCGGGCCUUGUACACACCGCCCGUCACACCAUGGGAGUUUGUUGCACCAGAAGUAGGUAGUCUAACCGUAAGGGGGACGCUUACCACGGUGUGGCCGAUGACUGGGGUGAAGUCGUAACAAGGUAACC
rnacentral:rRNA from 1 species